UACGGGGGGGGCAAGCGUUGUUCGGAAUUACUGGGCGUAAAGGGUUCGUAGGUGGCUUGCUAAGUCAGACGUGAAAUCCCUCAGCUUAACUGGGGAACUGCGUCUGAUACUGGCGAGCUUGAGUGCAGGAGAGGAACGCGGAAUUCCUGGUGUAGCGGUGGAAUGCGCAGAUAUCAGGAGGAACACCGAUGGCGAAGGCAGGUCACUGGGCCGCAACUGACGCUGAGGAGCGAAAGCAUGGGGAGCGAACAGG
rnacentral:rRNA from 1 species